UCCACCUCUUGACCACUCUACUACACCAUUCCAAAAAUGAUGUCAAACUUACACUAAAAUGACAUAACAGGUCCUGCAUCAAAAAGUGAGCAAAUCAGAAUACCACAAUUGUUUAAAUCCUCUCAAAAAAUUUCCCCCAAAACUAUUCCAAUCCUUCUAUAAAGGGAACUGAAGCAACAGCAAGCAAAUAAAAAAAAAAGGAGAAAAACUCUGAAAAUCUCUCAAAAAACUACCUCUCAAAACCACAAACCAACAGUUACUCGACCAAACCUCUGCCCAUUAAACAACAAUCCACCAAAAACCCUAAAUUUCUCAUCUACAAAAAUUUUCCAGAAAUUAUGAGAAGAAGGAAAAGAAACAGAUAUCAUUCAUCAUAAACCUAACAUUCAUCAUCGUUUUCCUAAUCAAUAAAACCCUUCAGAAAUUGAGAGAAGAAGAGAGAUUAGAAGGACCUCGCCGAGUUAUGAGAUCGUGAACCCAUUUCCAUCUUCGUUGCGCUUCAGAACCAACAUCAGCAUCAUCUCCAUUCAAAACGAAAUCGCGAAUCAAAACCCAGCUCACCACAUCCCAAACACAACAACAAGACUCAUCAUUCACCAACAGAACACAUCCAUUUCAGAAGCAACAAGAUUCACGGAGCAGAAAGGAAGAGAAGAGCGGAGACGCAUACCUGAAGAGGAUCAUUGUUGAAGCCUUUGCAAGAGGUAAUUUUUUUUCUUUUGCACCUUUAUCGUUUUUUAUCUUUAUGUGGAGAUUGGGAUUAUAUGCUUGUUUGACCAUUGUGCUUCUACUUGAACCGUGAUCGUGACCGUGAGAGAUGAGAGAAAUUUCGAGAGUGAGUUUCGAGCUCUGAAAGCUCCAUCCAUGGUUUGUUAAUCAGAAUGACAAGUGAGCAUUGGGAUUGCAGCUAUCUUAACGUAUUGGAUAUCGGGGGAGGAUAAAACUUCUCUGAAUCUACUCUUGAUAUGUAUGAACUCGGUCUGAUAAAAGUCUCCAAUGACUGGACCUUUAUUGUUCAGUAGUAGCUCCACAUUGUUAAUUUCGUAAAUUUUGUCAAAUCUUCUAAUUUUUGCGAUGGUGUCUCUGGAAAUUUUUGAUUUUAACACUCCUAAAUUUUUGAUAACCUUUUUUUCAUCUAAAAAGAUCUUUCUCCAUAAUCAAUCACACCCGUGUUUUUCAUAUCAUGUAAGCAUCUCUUAAUGGUAGUGUCAUGGUAGUGUCAUAUGUUUUAUCAAUAUUGAUUAAAACUUCUCUGAAACCGUGAUUACAACUUCUAAAAAAACAUGGUAUAUCAUCUCCUUAAAUCUGAUAUUUAUAAAACAUAUAACACUACCAUUAAGAGAUGCUAGAGAUGCUUGAAUGUUAUGAAAAGCAAGAGUUUGAUUGAUUAUGGAGAAAGACCUUUUAGAGGAAAACAUUAUCAAAAAUUUAGGAGAGGGUCAAAAUCAAAAAUUUCCAGAGACACUAUCGCAAAAAUUAGAAGAUUUGACAUAAUUUACGGAAUUAACAAUGUGGAGCUACUACUGGACACUAAAGGUCCAGUCAUUGGAGGCUUUUAUGAGACCGAGGACUUCGGAUACUUAUCUAAGGGACAAAUAUACAAACCGUUGGGAGAAGGAGCAAAUACAGUUUUGAUUAUUGGUUAUGGACGGAAAAGAAUAAAUGGAGCGUCGAUAAAAUAUUGGCGUGUGUAUUAAAUUCCUGGGGAAUACUUGGUGUGACAAGGGAUUCGGGUUAAUUGCUCAAAAACAUGAUAAUGGGGAAGACACAAUGGACCAGUAUUGGUUCAUAAAAUCAGCAGAACUGUUUAAUUAAGAUGUGUUUCAUCAAAUUGAGUUAGUAUACCUUUAAACUCUUUGAACACUUCUAAAUGAAGUCUUUUUAGCUAUAGGCCUGGUCACAAUCUGCUUAUAGACUUCUUUUUGAUAUUAUAACAAAUCAGGAUCUGUACUCUUGGCUGCCAUUUACAACCUUUUGUUCUCCGCUACUCUCGUAACACGCCAUCAGUUCUUCUUCCGGUGCAUCUCAUUAAUGCUUGUAGGUAGCUCCCCCGGUCCUCAAGUGGUCUUCGAAUGUUGAUGUGGAGAAUUAUGGCCAAGGUGACAGUGAUGAUGCUUUUUUUGACAAUUAUGGCACUCUUUUUUGCUACAACACGGUCUUGACGGGAGCCCCAUAGAGCAAUUCUAGAGUGGUCUAGCAACACUUAUAUCUCAAUUACGAUAUAAGAAAGAAUUUUCUUUCGAUUCUCUUUAAUAUGAAGAAGUCUCUCAUUGAAGAGGUUUAUGUUUUACUAUUGUACCAAAAUGUAGAUGCUCUUCACGAGUUUGUUGGAACCAAAUUGUUAAUAUUAUUGGAGGUUGUGUGACAAUUCCGGUUUAGAAGAUUGGAAUAACGGGGAAGGCAGGGGUUGUUGCAGCUUAUGAAGUUAAAGUUGGUGCUGGGAUAACGAAAGUAUUGAGAGGUUGGAACUUGACACGAAGCUGUAAUUUGCAAAGUGAUUAGGAUCAGAGUCUAUACAUCUUGGUGCUGAGGUUGUUCUUUCGUCGGGAGAGUAAGAACUGACAUGAGAAUAGUGUCUUAAGGAAACUGUGUUGCAGUGAUUUGUAAAUCAAGUUUACUAUACACCAUUUUCUCUACACACAUUCACAUCUCAUA